UGCAACGCGAUCAAUUAUUAGGGGAGUUACUUAAAAAAUAAUUUAUUUAGCAUAAUGUAUAGUUCUACAGUGGAAAGCGACAAUGCACCUAAAGAAGAGGUAGUGGAAAUUAUGACAGAAAAUCUACGUUAUGGAAAUAAUGACAGGGGAAUGCGGCCCUAAAAAAAGAAGACAAUUUCUUUGAGUUUAUGAGCGAUUCAAUAACUGAGGACCAGUUGAGAAAGGUUUUGCAGCUAAAAAAAAAACGAUUUUUUAAAACUCAAGUUGCCUUAACGUAAUAAAAGUAUC